UCGUGACAUGAAAAGUUACUGGAUUAACGUCUGUUAAAUGGUAUCAUGGUCCUAAUAGUAUGUAUAUAGAAGAAUAUGGACGGAUAUUCGUUUUUAUUAUUAAUCUAAUUAGUGUAUUAUUUAAAACUUUACAGCACGAUUUUAUAUGAAGUCAAACAGGAGAAAAGUUCUGCUAUACAAUGGCUAUACGUACUUUAAAGAAAAACUUCUGAGUAACCAAAAUCAGCGAUUUGUUUGCUCUAACACAAAAUUUUCAAAUUGCAAGGCAUAUAUUCAUAUUACUAAGGAUCUACACGUUGCCAAGGAAUGGGGUAGUCACAACCAUGACCCGCCGAACUAUGCUCUACAGCACGAUCUUAUUAUUUUCUUUUAAUUGUGUAAAGGCCUGUAUUCACUUUGAUUAGUGCUAGUGCAAGUGAUUAGUAAUUGAAAUUAGUGCAGGUGUGUAGUGCAAGUAGUGUCCAAUUAUUGUUUAGUGGCUCUGUUAAGUAAAUUCAGUUGUCAUAUAGUUUGGCAGGCACGCUGCGAGUGAGGGGGAAGGGAGGGCGCACGUGACGUCACAACUCGCAGUUCACUCGCAAAAAAAAUAGAACACGCUUCUAAUCACUUUACUACGCAGGCUACUAAUCUCCUAAUCACUAAUCACCUGCACUAAUCACUAAUAAAAGUGAAUACAGGCCUUAAAGGAUAGUUUAAAAGAUAACAAUUGUAUUAAUAUAUUUUAUAUCCUCAUAACUGAGUAUACUUUGACGCGUUAGAUUUAAAGAAGUUUAUUCCCAUUAAAAACAUUCAUGUCACUAAAUUGAGAUUUUUUUUUAUUAAAAACAUAACAGUAAAAUAUAUCACGUCACCACGGCACUGUCGCUUAGUGGGCUGGUAUUUCAAAUUUAGGACUUAAGGACAAUUAAUUAAGCCAUUGCAAUCUACGAUUUUAAGACAAUUUAAUGAUAUGACAUUUUUUUUGUGUGUUCCCACAAGUGUGUGUGGCAAGUGGGAUUGUGGAAAACCGUCAGUUCAGUUCUGUAUAAAAACAACAUAUAUGUGCGUUAAUUUUUUUAUAACUGUUUUAAGCUCCACACCAAUUUUUUAAAAAUAUUAUUAUAUAAUUUAACUUAAAGCUUUAAAUGCCUUUUUAAUUGUAAUAUUAAUUUGCCUUCUACCCUCAUAUUAGUGCGCGAAACACCUGGAUAGUUCUACGUUAAGAGUUACUAUCGUUAUCGUAUUAUGUUAAUGCUACAAAUUUCAAUAGGCAGAGUAUUUGUUUUUAAAGUUAACGAUAAACGUCGCGAGCGCCGUUUGAAUGCUCUCAUAGGCGGAUAAUUCUAUCACGCCACUCGGCUCACUCGGACAUGUCAGUGAUUGCAAUAUCUCUACUGAUUAUGCCUCCUCAAAAAACAUAACUCGUGAAAAACGUCUUGAAAAAAAGCGUUUGGCAGAACGAUUGCGAUACCAACGCAUAAAAAGUGACCCCGAAAAGUAUUCCCAACAUAGGGAAAAGGAAAAGAAGAAAUAUGAAAGAAAAAAAGAGAAGGGAACUAUAAAGACCGUAAACCAAAUGACACCCAGAGAAAAACUAGAAGCUAGAAAGAUAUGGAGAGAAAAGGCAAAACAGCAGAGACGACGUUGAGCUCUUCAACAUUUUUGUACCAUAUACCAAAUAAAUAUUAUUAUAAAUAAAUUAACACUUUACUAUAUCAAUAUUGUUUUUAUAUUUUCGUGGUAGUUGUUAUAAGAUUUAUCUUUCUUCAAUCGUCAAGGAAACAUCUAAAGCAAUCUGUUUUCACCGGUUUCUGUCCAGCGUCUUAUGACAGUGUACAGCUUUGAGGACGAUGAGUCUUUCACUUAAUCGGUUCAUCUGGUUGAUGAACGUCCAGAUAAGAUUACGAUAUAUGUAUAAUAUAGCAUAUAAUAACAUAGUAUUUUUUGCAGUGAGAUUUUACAGAAAGAUGAACGGGGCAACGCUACUUCUUCACAAUGGUUACACGUUUUGCAAAAAAGCAGAUCUUCAAAACCAAACCCAACGUUAUAUAUGUUCUAAAACAAUCUGUUCGAAAUGUAAGGCAUAUCUUCAUAUUACGAAGGACCUGCUGAUUUCUAAAGAAUGCCGAAGUCACACUCACCCCCGGCCGAAAUAUAUUUUAAAAGAUGAUGUUAUUAUUAUGCUGUAAAGUUAUAUAUUUUGGCCCAAAGGGCUAUAUACGUAGUGAUAAUCUUAAUUAGAGAUGAAACGGAUAUUCGGUAACUAUCCGGCUAAUCCGGUUCCAAUUUUAAAUUAUCCGGCCGGAUACCGGAUAAAUUGAAGGCACUUUACACUUUGCUUAGCACCAUAAGGAUGCGCACUGAAUUCUGUUAUGAUAAUUAUAUAUGAAUAUAUUACUCUAAUGUAUGUCUAAAAGUAAAGCAAGAAAUAUAUUUAUAUAAAUAAUAUUAGUUACUUAUAUUAGCUAUAGAGGAGUUGUUCUGAGCUCUGCAGCUGAGUUUCAUCAUCGGACGUCUAGGCAGAAUACGAAAUACCACCCGUAUCACCUCGACGUCCGUCGUUCUGCGUCACACCAACUAGGUAAUAAACAUCUUGUGCACAGGAUAUUACAAAUUUGUUGCACGCGUAAUUAUUAAUUUCUACAAUUACAUUGUUAAAUAUUUAUUAUGAUUGUAAUUAUAAAAACUUGUACUUAGGCUAAGUUUUUUUGAAGAAAUAAAGGUUUCAUUUCAUAAAAACCUAGAUUUUUCAACAUACCAUUUCUCUGGCAUUGAGUGGCCAUGGGUGGCGGAUCGCUUAACAUUAGAUAAGCCCGUUUGCGUUUGUUUUAUAAAAGACUUCAAAAAUAAAGGUUAAAGUCGUGUAAUUUCUUCCACCGUUGGAGUUACUGUUACCUUGUUUCUGCGUCAAUUUUAUCGAAUAUUGUUACGGGCAAAAAGGUAAUUAGGCAAGGACAUAGGAUUAGGCACGAUAGGCCAACAACAAAACACACAAUAAACCAUAUUAAAGUGUAAUUAAUAAAAAUAAAGUAACUUGCAUUUAACCAUGGCCCAUGUUUGAAAUCCUUAUUUUUAUUGUUUUUUGAUUGCUUAACAAACGCGACAAGAAUUUACCCUGCCACCUAACACGGUAAAAUCUGUAAUAAAACAACUAGUAAGUGACGUCGACGUUCUUAUGUUUUAAAGUAUGCUAUGAAGUUCGUCUAAUAAAACCUUUGUUUCGUCCAAAUCGUCAUGCACCGUCGUCACAGCGUGACCGCAGUCAUCGCAGGCUACGACAGCCGUUUGCCUGGGUCAGACAACGUCUCACUCUGAAUUCCAGCCAAAGAGAACGCCCCGAGGUAGAGAAGAAAUGUUAGAAAAGAAACGUGAAAAUGAAAGAAAACGCUACGCCAGAAUUAAGAACGAUCCGAUAAAAUUCGCCGCUUAUAAAGCAAGACUUAGAAGACGACGACGAAGACGACGAGACGACGAAAAUAUUUAAAGGCAAGAGCUGCGGGCUUAAUAAAACGAUAUGACAGAACGUGAAAAACGUAAAUAUAGAAAGUCCUGGAGAGAUACAUCUUCUAAAUACUAUAAGACAAAAUGUGUUAAAGACGCUACUGGAGAUUUAAUGCUAAGCUCGCAUUAGGGAGCGUUCAAGUAUUACGUCACGCAAUUUUUGGAGAUUAUUGACCCUCCCCCCCAUGUAACGCGCCGUAACGUUUUUCUGUACCCAAUAGUAAAAC